GACGAACGCUGGCGGCGUGCUUAACACAUGCAAGUCGAACGGAAAGGCCCUGCUUUUGUGCGUUUCUCGAUUGCCGAACGGGUGAGUAACACGUGAGUAACCUGCCCUUGACUUUCGGAUAACUUCACGAAACUGGGGCUCAUAUCGGAUAUGAUCUCCUGCUCCAUGUUGGUGGUUGGAAAGUUUCGGCGGUUGGGGCUGGACUCGCGGCUUAUCCGCUGGUUGGUGGGGUAGUGGCUUACCAAGGCUUUGACGGGUAGCCGGCCUGAGAGGGGGACCGGGCACAUUGGGACUGAGAGACGGCGCAGACUCCUACGGGAGGCAGCAGGGGGGAAUAUGGCACAAUGGGCGGAAGUGUGAUGCAAAAACGCCGGGUGCGGGAUGACGGCCUUCGGGUUGUAAACCGAUUUCGCCGGUGACGAAGAGUGAGUGACGGUAAUGGGUAAAGAAGCACCGGCUAACUACGUG
rnacentral:rRNA from 1 species